AGUUGUUUAUAAAGCUUUGCCUUUAAUAUUCCAGAACCAAGAAAAAUCUGAAAAAAGUCCCCACAAUGGACGUUUUCCAUUCCCAACCAAGUGAGAUGUGGACGAGAAAAUUGCCAAACAAAGGAAGGAGUCUGGGUCCAUAUAAGAAAAACAUCUGUGCUCCUACCUUCAGAACAGGAUGGUUCUACUGAUGUUCUGUUUCUCUCUAAAUAAAAUAUUAAAGUCAUGUGUUUAAGACACAUUUAAUCAGAUAAUA